CCUACGGGUGGCAGCAGUAGGGAAUUUUCGGCAAUGGGGGAAACCCUGACGCAGCAACGCCGCGUGGAGGAUGAAGGUUUUCGGAUCGUAAACUCCUUUUGUCAGAGAAGAUAAUGCCGGUAUCUAACGAAUAAGCACUGGGUAACUCCGUGCCAGCAGCCGCGGUAAUACGGCGGGUGCAAGCGUGACUUGGGAUCACUGGGCGGAAAGAGCGCAUAGGCGGGAAAGCAAGGCAGAUGGGAAAUCCUAUGGCUUAACCAUAGAACUGCAUUUGGAACUGUUAUUCUAGAGGAUGGGUGAGGGAGAUGGGAUUCUUAGUGUAAGGGGAGAAACCGUA
rnacentral:rRNA from 1 species